ensembl:lncRNA
CUUGGACAGGGUUCUAACCUUUCGCAGGGAACAACGUUCACACACUAUGGACAAUUCUAAAACGCUGAUCAGCCCGUAAUGCUUGUCUUUGGAAUGGGGAGAGGAAACCAGAGUACCUGGAGGAAACCACUGUAUCACAGAGAGAACAUGCAAAAUCCAUGCGCAGAGGCAGGAUUUGAACCUGGAGACAGGAGGCGAAUGUGCUAGCCACUAAGCCACCAAACCCCCCGACAAAGAGACACAUCGAGAGAGUGUCAGGUCAUAUCCGAGAGCUUGGAACACCUACACAAAUGCAGACAUACUCAACUUCUAUUUUAAUCAUCAGACCUGAGAACGUUUACGCAUUUUUGCGUAGGAAGUCCUAAUUUUCCCAUGGAGCAGGAGUAUGCUUGUACAAUCAAUUGUGACAGAAAAAUACAUGAAAAGGGUAUUCCUUUUCCCAGCAGUAAAAACGGAAGAUGACCCAAUCGACACGUGAAUCCGAAAUGAGCUGUGCAGGUGUUUUGAACUCUCUACUAUUAACUGACAUCCUGCAAACUCCACCCCCUUCCCCUCCAUAUCAGGUUAGUAAUCGCUCGCCUUUUUCUGUUUUUUUUCUUUCUUUCUUCUUCCGCUCGAUAGAUGCAGCUGAUACAGCGCCGUCACUUACUGUCAAGCAACAGAGCAAGUGUUUACUCUAAAUUGAGUAAAUUGGCUAAUGUUAGCCAAAGGGCCGCUGUUGAUUCUGCUGACUGUAGUUUAACCACCGUCUGUUGGAAUCCUUCUGACGAUCAUUAGGACAUGAAGCCAGAGGACACACCGUUCACACCACCAUCGCAGCUAUUAAGAGCAGUUCCUUUUUUUAUCUGUCUUUACGUGUCUAUAGGAAAUCUGUUUUUAUCUGUAUAUAAGACAGAAAGGUGUAUCUUGAUCUUAUUGAGCCUCCUACUGUUAGCAUAUUACGGUAAAGGAGUAGUUCGCCUCUUAUGGAAAGCCACCUGAGAUCAUGCGGGUGUAUACUUACAUUGACAGUCCUACCAGAUUUCAUGAAAUUAUUCAAAACUCAUUAUCAAUAGCAAUAGAGAACCUCAUCCAUCCAUCCAUCCAUCCAUUUUCCAUACCGCAGUGUCAUGGAGGAGCCUGGAGGUAUCCCAUAGAACUCUGGGCACAGGGCGGGGGGGACACCCUGGACGAGGUGCCAACCCGUCACAGAGUACAAUCGCACACACGUUCACACACGACGGACAAUUUGGAAAUGCCAGUUAGCCUACAACGCACGUCUUUGGACUGGUGGAGGAAACCAGAAUACCCAGAGGAAACCCCUGAAGCACGGGGUUUUGGAGACGCAAUGCAAACUAACCAUUAACCUAUUUAACCCUUCGCUCUAUUUUACAAGUAAACACACAACUGUAUCAUUAUGGAACACCAAGUCGCAUUGGAGGAAAUCCGUACUCAAACAACUAGAGAAAAAUUUGUCUCGUGUGACAUUUCUUAUGCCCCUUAUCGUUCCUAAUAAUAGCCCCAAUCCUGUCCCUGUCAGACCAAUCUACCACUGACUUGGUGCUUCACCUCAUGCCCUGACCAAGUUUCCUAGGAGAUUGAUGUCCAGUGAUUUUGUCAAAGCAGAACGACCGACUGUUCCAUCUUAGUCAAUGAAGAUUUGGCCCAAUGGACCCUACAAUUGUCAUCAUGUAAUGUAGAAAUACCAGUGCUGUGUUCAGCUUGGCAAUAUUUAACAAGAUGUGCGAAUCUAAUCAAUAUAAGGCACUGCUAUUGGUCGAUUUGUUUCAUGUGAAGCCCAGGGAUCUUACAAAUAUAGCCCAACUGUAGUCGUGUAACAGUCAACCACCUGCUGGACAUGAAGAUCCAAUGAAUACAUCCUUCUGAUGACUUAGCCUCUGCAUAAGUAGCCAAGCACCUCAAAAACCCACCGACCUGUCAGUCAAGGCCUUAAGCUGUUUGUCGAGUCGUUUGUAUGCGCUCAUUACAAGCUCACGGUGUUUAUAUGUGUACACUGCUUUAACAUAACGAGGAGCUUCUCGCUCUGUUGGUUUAGUGCUAUGAGCAGUUUAGACCAAAGCCAUUUUUAACUACGCACUGUGCUGCUGUUUGCUGGAACAUACAUGUGAUGUUUGCUCACAGUUGUAAUAAAUCUCCUUCACAGUAGUAUUCGAAGACUCUACCCCUUAAACAUACCAAAGUCCACCUUUGAGAGCAGAUUAGCGUAGCCAAGAAGGGGCAUAAUAACCCAAUUAGGCUGAAAUAUCCCUACUCGGGCUCAAUUCAGAGGCAUGGCUGAAUUGAUUAAGUUAGCGCUUCUGAGUAAGAAAGAGUAAGAAAAGUAAACAUGAGCUGGGCCAGGCUACAUCCACUGGCAAAGAAAAACAAACGUCGUGUUACGUGAAUGUGCGUAUCACUCACGAUAUGGAAGAUGUUCAAACAGCUACGUGUGUUUACAGUGACAAAAAGAAGGACACCAGUGAUUUGGAUAAAACAAUAUUAGCCCUCUGGGACUGUGGGAGAACGCAUGUGUGUACACACAGUCUCCUUAAGGCACAACAUUUAGAUCAGUUAGUGUUGGCGUAAUUAAAUAUUUUACUUGUGUAAUAGCUUCUCAUGCCUGUUUGGCAGGGCUGAUGAGUCAAAUGUGGGACUUUGGCAAGACCCCCUUCACCUUCACCGGUGAGAUCUAAAAGUAGGGGAACAAUAACGUUAAAGGCAUCUCUCUCUCUCUCUCUCUCUCUCUCUCUCUCUCUCUCUCUCUCUCACACACACACACACACACACACACACACACACACACACAAAGGACUAGUAUGUGGCCUAAGGCAGAGAAAAGAUGAAAGUUGAGGUGAUGAGUGGUUUAGAUGAAGCAGCUUGUACAGUAUAAUGGUGAGAACAGGUUGCAGGGGUGAAAGGCCCCCAGUUGACUGAAUGCUGUGUGUAUGUGACGCCAGCAGCAAGAGGAUUACAAUUCACUUUGGAGAUUAAGCAAAUAUGAAUAAUGAAUCAUCCAUCCCUGUAAAUAUUUUGUUCCAAAAAUACUAUUUCAAUAUAUAAUUUCAAGUAUAAUACUAAAAGUGCUAUUUCAGGUACUGUAUGGGUGCACGGUGGCUGUAGUGGUUAGCAAUUCGCCUCACACCUCCAGGGUCGGGGGUUCGAUUCCCACCGUGGCCCUGUGUGUGCGGAAUUUGCAUGUUCUCCCCGUGCUGCGGGGGUUUCCUCCGGGUACUCCGGUUUCCUCCCCCAGUCUAAAGACAUGCAUGAUUGGCGUGUGUAAAGUGUCCGUAGUGUAUGAAUGAGUGUGUGAGUGUGUAUGUGAUUGUGCCCUGCGAUGGACUGGCACCCUGUCCAGGGUGUACCCCGCCUUGUGCCCCAUGCUCCCUGGGAUAGACUCCAGGUUUCCCCGUGACCCUGAAAAGGAUAAGCGGUAUAGAAGAUGGAUGGAUGGAUAUACUAUAUUCAAAUACUACACACUGUUAUUUAUCUCAAAACAUCAUCUUCAACAGCAUAACUUUUCUAAUUUCAACAGAUGUCACUGGAGAGGAUUUUCUCGCGUGUUGGCUUGGUAUUGAGCGACCCCAUGUGGUCCGUGUCCUUUACUGCAAGCGUAGUUCUCCAGGCCAAGACAUUCUCAUGCUCGAGCACAGGGAUCACCAACCCUCUUCCUUGAAAUCUACUUUCCUGCAGGUUUCUGCUCCAAGCAAAAUUCAAGCAAAAAGAACUUCAUAAGAGGCUCCUACUCAUUCUGGAGGGCACGCUAAAAUUUGCAUCCAUUUGAACUUCAAAGAAGAGACUCUUCUUCAGUGGACUUCUUAACCACCAGAUCUGAAUCCAACCGAGCACCUUUGGGAUGUGGUACAACGGGAGAUUCACGGUUUGAAUGUGCAGCUGACAAAUCUGUAGCGGUUAUACUGUAUGAUGCAAUCAUGUCAACAUGGACCAGAAUCUCAAAGGAAUAUUUCCAACAUCUUCUGGAUUCCAGGCCAUGACGAAGACUGUUCUGAGAGCAAGGGGAGUCAUAUUGAAUACGGUAUCACUGCAUUUCACUUAACAUUUGUCUCAUGUAUUGAAGGGGGGGGGGGGAAACUACCCAUGUCAUGCCCCUCCAUAAAUGUGGAGACCCAGCUGAUGUAACAAAUUAUUAUAAGCUCAUUUCUAAGCUCCUACACACAGCUAAAAUAUUAGUCUUUAGUUCAUUCACAAUAACCUGCUGUCAUCAACAACAGUAUAUCAACAUUCUUCAGCCUCAGCAGUCAGGGUUCAGGCCAGAACACAGCUCUCUCACAGCUGCCCCCUGCUGCACUCUUUGUUGAUCUCUAAAAAUCAUUCGAAACUGUCGACCAUGAUAUCUUAAUGAACAGAACUGUCUCAUUUGGGUUUGGAACAAGCUCUCCCUGAUCUGGUUUGGUACCUACCUUACUGGGAGGGCAUAAACAGUUGUUGGUUGGUUGGAUGGUUUCAUAUCACAGUUCCAUGUCAUCUGUAAUGGUGUCCCACAAGGGCCAAUCAUAGGCCUGUUGUUAUUCACCAUAUACGGGUGUAUAUAAAGAAAAAGCUCACGGAAAUCAAACAUCCAGUAUCUAAAAAUAAUUGAUUAAAGAAUUUAUAAUACAGAAAUGUCAACCUUGUGGAAAGUGUGUUCAUUUAUGCACCGAUACUCGGUCGGGGUUUUAAUUCUUUUGUAUGAAUGACUGCGUGAACGCGGCGGGUCUUCUCAGGUCAACAUUUCUCUAUUAUAAAUUCUUUAUUCGAAUAUUUUGAGAAACUGGAUGCUUGAUUUCCAUGAGCCGUAAACCGUAAUCAUCGAGAUUAAAACAACAACAAACAAACAAACAAAAAAAAAACGGCUUGAAAUAUUUCACUUUAUGUGUACACGGUAUUUCAUUAUCUACAAUAUAUGAAAGUUCCACUUUUUAAAUAAACUUUCCCACGACGUUCAAAUUUUUUGAGAUGCACCUGUAUUUUAGCAAUGUAAUCAGACCCCUCCGAUUGUCCCUUUUAUGCUAAUGAUACAGUCACCUGGACUGACACUAGAUCACGCUGUCAACUACAGUCGAUUAGUAACUCCCUGCAGUCUUCUCAUUCACACAUGAAGAAAAGCCUAUCUUGUGAUUUGAUUGUAUUUCAUCAAUACAUUUCAGAUUUUCUUCAAUGAUUCCACUGUGUAUGUCGUAUUCUCUCUACUAGCCCUUUUACAGUGAUGUAUUUACGUGCAGUACCAUAAUGAACCAUACCACAUAUUUUGUACUGCAGUAUUUAAUGAUUGUAGACACAACUACACAGUUAAACCGCCAGUAUCUUGUCUGUGGGUGAUCUAAAUGAAUGUUCCUAUGGUAUUUCAUUAUAAAUGAGUUAUUUGAACCAAUGAUCCUGCAACUGAUGAUUUUUUUCUUCCCAAACUACAGUCAAGUCAUUACCAUAGUGCCUUGCUUUAAAAAAAAUUAAACAAACAAAACCUUAUAUAUAUAUAUACAC